rnacentral:rRNA from 1 species
UACGGAGGGUGCAAGCGUUUAUCCGGGAUUCACUGGGUUUAAAGGGUGCGUAGGCGGCUUAAUAAGUCAUUGGUGAAAGCUCGCAGCUCAACUGCGAAACUGCCAUUGAAACUGUUUAGCUUGAAUGUGGUUGAAGUGGGCGGAAUACAACAUGUAGCGGUGAAAUGCUUAGAUAUGUUUUAGAACACCGAUUGCGAAGGCAGCUCACUAAGCCAAUAUUGACGCUGAGGCACGAAAGCGUGGGUAGCAAACAGG